rnacentral:rRNA from 1 species
AAUGAACGUUGGCGGCGUGGAUUAGGCAUGCAAGUCGAGCGAUAACCGUAGCAAUACGGCGAAAGCGGCGAAAGGGAGAGUAACACGCGGGUACCUACCCUCGGAUCCGGGAUAGCCAUGGGAAACUAUGGGUAAUACCGGAUAACGUCUUCGGACCAAAGGUGUGAUUCCGUCCGGGGAGGGGCCCACGUCCUAUUAGCUAGUUGGUGAGGUAACGGCUCACCAAGGCGAAGAUGGGUACGGGAUGUGAGAGCAUGAUCCCGCUCAUUGGGACUGAGACACUGCCCAGACACCUACGGGUGGCUG